rnacentral:rRNA from 1 species
GAUGAACGCUGGCGGUAUGCUUAACACAUGCAAGUCGAACGGACUCUUCGGAGUUAGUGGCGGACGGGUGAGUAACGCGUGAGAAUCUGGCUUUGGGUUCGGGACAACCACUGGAAACGGUGGCUAAUACCGGAUGUGCCGAGAGGUAAAAGAGAAAUUGACUGAAGAUGAGCUCGCGUCUGAUUAGCUAGUUGGUGAGGUAAAGGCUCACCAAGGCAGCGAUCAGUAGCUGGUCUGAGAGGAUGACCAGCCACACUGGGACUGAGACACGGCCCAGACUCCUACGGGAGGCAGCAGUGGGGAAUUUUCCGCAAUGGGCGAAAGCCUGACGGAGCAAUACCGCGUGAGGGAAGAAGGCUCUUGGGUUGUAAACCUCUUUUCUUAGGGAAGAACAAAAUGACGGUACCUAAGGAAUCAGCAUCGGCUAACUCCGU